rnacentral:rRNA from 1 species
UACGGAGGGGGCUAGCGUUGUUCGGAAUUACUGGGCGUAAAGCGCGCGUAGGCGGACCUGCAAGUCGGGGGUGAAAUCCCGAGGCCCAACCUCGGAACUGCCUUUGAUACUGGGGAUCUCGAGUCCGGGAGAGGUGAGUGGAACUGCGAGUGUAGAGGUGAAAUUCGUAGAUAUUCGCAAGAACACCAGUGGCGAAGGCGGCUCACUGGCCCGGAACUGACGCUGAGGUGCGAAAGCGUGGGGAGCAAACAGG